rnacentral:rRNA from 1 species
CCUCGGGAGGCAGCAGUGGGGAAUAUUGGACAAUGGGCGAAAGCCUGAUCCAGCCAUGCCGCGUGUGUGAAGAAGGCCUUCGGGUUGUAAAGCACUUUCAGUGGGGAAGAAAGCCUUGGGGCUAAUACCCUCGAGGAAGGACAGCACCCACAGAAGAAGCACCGGCUAACUCCGUGCCAGCAGCCGCGGUAAUACGGAGGGUGCGAGCGUUAAUCGGAAUUACUGGGCGUAAAGCGCGCGUAGGCGGUCUGAUAAGCCGGUUGUGAAAGCCCCGGGCUCAACCUGGGAACGGCAUCCGGAACUGUCAGGCUAGAGUGCAGGAGAGGAAGGUAGAAUUCCCGGUGUAGCGGUGAAAUGCGUAGAGAUCGGGAGGAAUACCAGUGGCGAAGGCGGCCUUCUGGACUGACACUGACGCUGAGGUGCGAAAGCGUGGGUAGCAAACAGGAUUAGAACCCGAGUAGUC